GGGGGCGUCACGGUUUCGACGUGCUUGGUGCAGUCGGAGCUGCGUGCCGAGGUCUCCGAACCCUCGUUAAUCCACGGAAAACUCAAUAGUUGCCAACACUGAACUGGCGAUGGCCGCCUAAGUAACCCUUAGGUAGCCCGCUCCCUGGGUCGCCCGCCCGAGGCGGCCCCUGCGAGCGUCGAUGAGUCGGGCUGGCUUCCGGUGGCGUCGCCGCACCGGAGGCGAGACAACAGGCGACUGGUCGCUGUGCAGGCCGUGCGCUGGCCGGCAGUCGACGAGACCAACAGCGCUCUACGCACGUAGAAGCUCGGAUGAAUCCAUUCGCGGACGCGGGUUCGACUCCCGCCGCCUCCACUU
rnacentral:tmRNA from 1 species